CUGGCUCAGGACGAACGCUGGCGGCGUGCCUAAUACAUGCAAGUCGAACGCGUCUCCGUUAAUGAUUUUAGGUGCUUGCACUUGAAAGAUUUAACAUUGAGACGAGUGGCGAACUGGUGAGUAACACGUGGGUAACCUGCCCUUGAAGUAGGGGAUAACACUUGGAAACAGGUGCUAAUACCGUAUAACAACCAAAACCACCUGGUUUUGGUUUAAAAGACGGCUUCGGCUGUCACUUUAGGAUGGACCCGCGGCGUAUUAGCUUGUUGGUAAGGUAACGGCUUACCAAGGCGAUGAUACGUAGCCGACCUGAGAGGGUAAUCGGCCACAUUGGGACUGAGACACGGCCCAAACUCCUACGGGAGGCAGCAGUAGGGAAUCUUCCACAAUGGACGAAAGUCUGAUGGAGCAACGCCGCGUGAGUGAUGAAGGGUUUCGGCUCGUAAAACUCUGUUGUUGGAGAAGAACAGGUGUCAGAGUAACUGUUGACAUCUUGACGGUAUCCAACCAGAAAGCCACGGCUAACUACGUGCCAGCAGCCGCGGUAAUACGUAGGUGGCAAGCGUUGUCCGGAUUUAUUGGGCGUAAAGCGAGCGCAGGCGGUUUUUUAGGUCUGAUGUGAAAGCCUUCGGCUUAACCGGAGAAGUGCAUCGGAAACCGGGAGACUUGAGUGCAGAAGAGGACAGUGGAACUCCAUGUGUAGCGGUGAAAUGCGUAGAUAUAUGGAAGAACACCAGUGGCGAAGGCGGCUGUCUGGUCUGUAACUGACGCUGAGGCUCGAAAGCAUGGGUA
rnacentral:rRNA from 1 species